UUGAAGAGUUUGAUCAUGGCUCAGAUUGAACGCUGGCGGCAGGCCUAACACAUGCAAGUCGAGCGGUAGCACAGAGAGCUUGCUCUCGGGUGACGAGCGGCGGACGGGUGAGUAAUGUCUGGGAAACUGCCUGAUGGAGGGGGAUAACUACUGGAAACGGUAGCUAAUACCGCAUAACGUCGCAAGACCAAAGUGGGGGACCUUCGGGCCUCAUGCCAUCAGAUGUGCCCAGAUGGGAUUAGCUAGUAGGUGGGGUAACGGCUCACCUAGGCGACGAUCCCUAGCUGGUCUGAGAGGAUGACCAGCCACACUGGAACUGAGACACGGUCCAGACUCCUACGGGAGGCAGCAGUGGGGAAUAUUGCACAAUGGGCGCAAGCCUGAUGCAGCCAUGCCGCGUGUAUGAAGAAGGCCUUCGGGUUGUAAAGUACUUUCAGCGGGGAGGAAGGCGAUAAGGUUAAUAACCUUGUCGAUUGACGUUACCCGCAGAAGAAGCACCGGCUAACUCCGUGCCAGCAGCCGCGGUAAUACGGAGGGUGCAAGCGUUAAUCGGAAUUACUGGGCGUAAAGCGCACGCAGGCGGUCUGUCAAGUCGGAUGUGAAAUCCCCGGGCUCAACCUGGGAACUGCAUUCGAAACUGGCAGGCUAGAGUCUUGUAGAGGGGGUAGAAUUCCAGGUGUAGCGGUGAAAUGCGUAGAGAUCUGGAGGAAUACCGGUGGCGAAGGCGGCCCCCUGGACAAAGACUGACGCUCAGGUGCGAAAGCGUGGGGAGCAAACAGGAUUAGAUACCCUGGUAGUCCACGCCGUAAACGAUGUCGAUUUGGAGGUUGUGCCCUUGAGGCGUGGCUUCCGGAGCUAACGCGUUAAAUCGACCGCCUGGGGAGUACGGCCGCAAGGUUAAAACUCAAAUGAAUUGACGGGGGCCCGCACAAGCGGUGGAGCAUGUGGUUUAAUUCGAUGCAACGCGAAGAACCUUACCUGGUCUUGACAUCCACAGAACUUAGCAGAGAUGCUUUGGUGCCUUCGGGAACUGUGAGACAGGUGCUGCAUGGCUGUCGUCAGCUCGUGUUGUGAAAUGUUGGGUUAAGUCCCGCAACGAGCGCAACCCUUAUCCUUUGUUGCCAGCGGUUAGGCCGGGAACUCAAAGGAGACUGCCAGUGAUAAACUGGAGGAAGGUGGGGAUGACGUCAAGUCAUCAUGGCCCUUACGACCAGGGCUACACACGUGCUACAAUGGCAUAUACAAAGAGAAGCGACCUCGCGAGAGCAAGCGGACCUCAUAAAGUAUGUCGUAGUCCGGAUUGGAGUCUGCAACUCGACUCCAUGAAGUCGGAAUCGCUAGUAAUCGUAGAUCAGAAUGCUACGGUGAAUACGUUCCCGGGCCUUGUACACACCGCCCGUCACACCAUGGGAGUGGGUUGCAAAAGAAGUAGGUAGCUUAACCUUCGGGAGGGCGCUUACCACUUUGUGAUUCAUGACUGGGGUGAAGUCGUAACAAGGUAACCGUAGGGGAACCUGCGGUUGGAUCACCUCCUU
rnacentral:rRNA from 1 species